UACAGAGGGUGCAAGCGUUAAUCGGAUUUACUGGGCGUAAAGCGUGAGUAGGUGGCUCGCUAAGUCGGUUGUGAAAUCCCUGGGCUCAACCUGGGAAUUGCAGUCGAUACUGGCAAGCUAGAGUUCGGUAGAGGGUGGCGGAAUUCCCGGUGUAGCGGUGAAAUGCGUAGAUAUCGGGAGGAACAUCGAUGGCGAAGGCAACCACCUGGGCCUGAACUGACACUGAGACACGAAAGCGUGGGUAGCAAACAGG
rnacentral:rRNA from 1 species